AAACUAUGUUGUUUUGAAAAAUCCUAGUUAAUAUUUAAUAGUGCUAGAUUUAUCGAUAAAAUACCAUUAUCUUUUUACUUUUACUGAUAUAAUUUUUGUUAGUUUUCAUUUUUUCAUACACUUAUAAAUAUUUUAUCCAGAUUAUUAUUAAACGGAGUAGAUAGUUAAUGAUUUAACAUUUAUAGUGAAAUAAUUUUAAAAUAUCCUAGCUUUGGCUGUGUAUCAAAUCAUUCAGCAUUAAUAAGACUUAGUUAAAUGCUGAACAAAUUUAAUGUCUUACGGUUUAUCUACGUAUCAGCUAUUUAAAAACGAUAAGGUUUAUAGAGUGAACGGUAUUUAAUGAUAAUCGAUAUAAUAUGUAUAUAGCACCGUAUUAUACUCGUAUAUAUUAUAAUACUAUGUAGAAUAUCGACAGUUCAAAGCCCGCGGGAAAAAAAUAAAGUUAUCGGAAAACAAGACACGUAUGAAAUGUUUUAUUGUAUUAUUCAAUUAAGAAAGUAAUGCGACGUGACUGUUGUGGUAGUGCGGUUUGUACUUUAGUGCCGAAUACAUAUUACGUCAAAAACCACUGCCGCGACAUGCCUAUAUUAUUAAAUUCUAAUUGAUGUACAAAAGCUGCCAAUUCUGACGACAAGAUCUUCAAAUCAAAUGAAGUCCUAUAUAAUAUGCAAUACUCUGUCAUUUGCAUUACAUUAUAAUAUAUCGUCGUCCACAUACGCACUACACACACAUACACAUAUUCUCUAUAUAUAUAUUAGAAGAAUAAUAGUAAUGUACCGUGUACAGUUGCGUUGUUUGUAUACACAAACAUUAUAGGUCGUAAAAUAAUUGGUUACUAUUGUGAUUUAAAAUAGGCUUUUCAAAUCCGCCCUAUGCGUUAUGUCCAUCUACACUAUUCAUUCCUCGCACAAUAAUACAUAAAGUUCGAAAUGUAAAUGGUAUGUGUGUGUGUGUAUUUGUACUCAGGAUAAAACACAUUGAGUAACACUAUAUAUCUCGCUGAUGAAAUA